rnacentral:rRNA from 1 species
GAUGAACGCUGGCGGCGUGCUUAACACAUGCCAGUCGAACGGGAAUUAUUUUAUUGAACCUUCGGUCGAUUUAAUUUAAUUCUAGUGGCGGACGGGUGAGUAACGCGUGGGUAACCUGCCUUAUACAGGGGGAUAACAGUCAGAAGUGGCUGCUAAUACCGCAUAAGCGCACAGAGCUGCAUGGCUCAGUGUGAAAAACUCCGGUGGUAUAAGAUGGACCCGCGUUGGAUUAGCUGGUUGGUGGGGUAACGGCCCACCAAGGCGACGAUCCAUAGCCGGCCUGAGAGGGUGAACGGCCACAUUGGGACUGAGACACGGCCCAGACUCCUACGGGAGGCAGCAGUGGGGAAUAUUGCACAAUGGGGGAAACCCUGAUGCAGCGACGCCGCGUGAAGGAAGAAGUAUCUCGGUAUGUAAACUUCUAUCAGCAGGGAAGAUAGUGACGGUACCUGACUAAGAAGCCCCGGCUAACUACGUG